rnacentral:snRNA from 1 species
AUGCUUGCUUCAGCAGCACAUAUACUGAAAUUGGAACAAUACAGAGGGGAAUGGCAUGGCCUCUAACAAGGAUGACACAAAAAUUCGUGAACCAUUCCAUUAAAAA